GGACACCUCGGGGGUUUCCUGCUUUAUGGCGAAGGACACAUAUACUCACAGAAAUGAGUUAUUUAAAGAAGACGGUCCAGAUUCCACAGUCCAAAAAAAAAAGAGGUUUGCCCUGCUUCUGAAGGAGUCAGGGUAUGAAUGCAGAGGUCUUCCUGUUGGCUCACAUAUCAGAUCUUCAACGUCAACAUUAAAUGCGAGUGAUGCUUCCCCCUCUGUGAAUGUGGCUUUGGGUAUGGCUAAUCCACACCCUGCACUCUGGCCUUCAGAAGCCCAGGGAGAGAAGCCUCCCAGAAGCAACCUUCCAGAACCUUCUCCAUCCUCCCACCGACCUCCCCAGCCCCUGUCCUCUCUUUGAAUCUCGUUGUCAAGUUCUUCCCGCAGACACCUGGCUCCUUGAGGGGAGGUGCAGCUUUCAUCUGACCAUGCAGGCGUGCUUUGCAGUGGGUAGAGCAGUGCUUUCCUCCUCCCAGCUGCACACUGGAAUCACCUGGAGAGUCCAGAAACUUCCCGCCUCAGUGAAAGAACAUCAGUGUAUCAGCACAGCAAAUAUUCCAAAUGCCAGGCUGGAUUCCCUCCAAUUACCAGGACCUCCAGGCUUCUCCUCCUUUCAAGAACUUUCUGACCCUGGAUCCAGUCUAAAUGUUGGUUAUAAACUCACCUGACAUCCACAGGGCCCUUCCAAAAUACUGUCAAGGCUGACUGCUGGUGCCUGGAACCUGCACACCCUCCUGGGACUCUGCAUCUCUGCUGGGGCUGGUUUCUCCUCUGAGCCACCUUAAGGAAUCCCACCCUGACCCGGUCAGAGCUCACCAUGCCUCCCUCUCCUACUUGCUCAGCAUUUUGUGUCUAUCUAGACUGAAGCCUUUGCUUUCUCUCUGUGAUUAUGGUGAAAGUUCAGUUUGCUUUCCUAUCUCUAGAAUGUCAGCACGAAGGCAGAGGCAUGGUCUCCUGAGUUCCAUAACCCCAAAGCCUAACUCCCUGCCUGCCACACUGAGGGGCUUAGUAGACAUUGACUUACUAAAUUGAAUAGUUGAGUAAUAAUGCUCUUUGAAAUAAUUUGGAGUUAGAUCUUGAGCCUUGUGUGGCCAGAGGAUGGGUGAGGACACAUCAUAAAAACUAAAGGUAACUGAGCAUGCCAGUGGUUGGGGUGAGAAAUUUGCAUGGAGCACUCCAGACACAGAGGCAGCAAAACCCAAGUGCUGGGAAGUCAGAGUGAGAGAGUGAAGGGGCAGUGAGUGCUUCUUUAGGAGCUGGAUCAAAACCUAAGAUGAUCUGGCCACAUGGUGCAGACUGAGCACACACUUGGGAGAGAAAUGGGCCAGGAGGAGAGGAGAGAGGUUCACCACAGGACAGUGGAUGACUGGGAAUAGAAGCCCUCCCCAUGGUGGACCAAGAAGUCUGUGAAGCUGAGAGAAAGACAAAAGAAAUCACGACUUCUGUAGGUAGCUGGGAUGGAAACCUCAGGGGUGACAGGGUCUUUAAAGGAAAUCUCAAGGAAGGCAUCAUGUUCUGGGUGUGCUCCAGGGAUGCUGAGUAAGAAAAGACCAGCCUUUCUGUGUGUGUCUUUACUCUGCCACAAGGCACCUGGGCUCCUAAAUGACCAAUACACAUGUGCUAUACUGGUGCCAAGAAAGAAGGGUGUUUUGUAGGAAAGUCAAGGUGAGAGGAGGUGCCCAGGACUUGGCUCCUUUCUUUGAAGGGUGACGGUGUAAAUUCUCCAUGCUGGGGAUCCUACUGAUGGAUGGAGGCAUGUCGAUCUCAUCAUUUCACAGAGUGGGGAGCUAUGGCCACAACGUGCCUAUCACACAAGUCCAGCCUCACGUCAGCUGGACACCAGCUGUUCUGACACUUGUCAGCACAUGGGGCACCCGGAAGUUCAUGGUGUUCUGCAAAGAACGCCACAAAACAGUGAGCUCAACUUCUUGAAAGUCAUAAUGUGUUGCUAAGUCCGAUCCCAGAUCCUAAAAAUAAUAUGAGGUAGUGGCCAUUGAACAGAAAAAAUUUACAUCUUAAACUUGAAGAUAAGUACAAGUGUACCUUUUUCUACCACUGUUGUUCAGUUUUAUUAUAUUGACAAGCACCUCUGCCCACCCUGUGGGGUAAAACUGUUUGAAAGUGUUUAUGAAAGUUUUAUAUAAAUAUUGGUUGAUCAAAUGUACAAAAUAUGCAUGAUGGCACCAUAUUGUGUAUAAUAGUGACAAAUACAGUCUAUGUGGGUGGAGAAACAA
rnacentral:lncRNA from 1 species